AUUGAACGCUGGCGGAAUGCUUUACACAUGCAAGUCGAACGAUGAAGUCUAGCUUGCUAGACGGAUUAGUGGCGAACGGGUGAGUAAUAUAUCGGAACGUAUCCAUUAAUGGGGGAUAACUAGUCGAAAGAUUGGCUAAUACCGCAUACGUCCUACGGGAGAAAGCCGGGGAUCGUAAGACCUGGCGUUAAUGGAGCGGCCGAUAUCUGAUUAGCUAGUUGGUGAGGUAAAGGCUCACCAAGGCGACGAUCAGUAGCUGGUCUGAGAGGACGACCAGCCACACUGGAACUGAGACACGGUCCAGACUCCUACGGGAGGCAGCAGUGGGGAAUUUUGGACAAUGGGCGAAAGCCUGAUCCAGCCAUUCCGCGUGAGUGAAGAAGGCCUUCGGGUUGUAAAGCUCUUUCGCAAGGGAAGAAAACUUAUCCUCUAACAUAGGGUGAGGUUGACGGUACCUUGAUAAGAAGCACCGGCUAACUACGUGCCAGCAGCCGCAGUAAUAC
rnacentral:rRNA from 1 species